rfam:Helianthus annuus linkage group 9, whole genome shotgun sequence.
GAAAGCAAAUGAUGCAAUAAAAACAUCUUAUACUACACACUGAAGAUUUUGAUGUAGAAAACUAUCUCUCAAUUGUUUUCUGAUGCUUUC